UACGUAGGGCGCAAGCGUUAUCCGGAAUCAUUGGGCGUAAAGCGCGUGUAGGCGGCUUGGUAAGUCUGCUCUGAAAGCCCGGGGCUCAACCCCCGGGAGGCGGGUGGAUACUGUCAAGCUCGAGUCCGGGAAGAGGAGUGUGGAAUUCCUGGUGUAGCGGUGAAAUGCGCAGAUAUCAGGAGAACACCAAUGGCGAAGGCAG
rnacentral:rRNA from 1 species